CCUACGGUAGGCUGCAGUGGGGGAUAUUGCACAAUGGGGGAAACCCUGAUGCAGCGACGCCGCGUGAGUGAAGAAGUAUUUCGGUAUGUAAAGCUCUAUCAGCAGGGAAGAAAAUGACUGUACCUGAUCACGAAGCCCCGGCUAACUACGUGCCAGCAGCCGCGGUAAUACGUAGGGGGCAAGCGUUAUCCGGAUUUACUGGGUGGAAAGGGAGCGUAGACGGGUAUGUAAGUCUGGAGUGAAAGCCCGGGGCCCAACCCCGGGACUGCUUUGGAAACUGUGUAACUGGAGUACAGGAGGGGCAGGCGGAAUGCCUGGUGUAGCGGUGAAAUGCGUAGAUAUCAGGAGGAACACCGGCGGCGAAGGCGGCCUGCUGGACUGAAACUGACGUUGAGGCUCGAAAGCGUGGGGAGCGAACAGGAUUAGAUACCCGGGUAGUC
rnacentral:rRNA from 1 species